rnacentral:rRNA from 1 species
UACGUAGGAUGCAAGCGUUGUCCGGAAUUAUUGGGCGUAAAGAGCGCGCAGGCGGUCUAUCCAGUCAGAUGUGAAAUAUCCCGGCUUAACCGGGAGGGGUCAUUUGAAACUGGUGGACUAGAGUACAGCAGAGGAUAGCGGAAUUCCCGGUGUAGUGGUGAAAUGCGUAGAUAUCGGGAGGAACACCAGUGGCGAAGGCGGCUAUCUGGGCUGAAACUGACGCUGAGGCGCGAAGGCUAGGGGAGCAAACAGG